rnacentral:ncRNA from 1 species
GUCUAAAUACAUGUCAUAUCAAGGCGAAACCACGAAUGGCUCAUUAAAUCAAUUAUGGUUUCUUGGAUCGUAUCUUUACUACUUGGAUAAUUGUGAUAAUUCUAGAAUUAAUAUACAUGUUUAGAUUUUCAGGCUUUAUUAGACCUGAAAAUAAAAACCUUAUUAUUAAAAGAAGGCCUUUAUUAGAACGAAACUAAUUGGACCUUGUGCCCAUAUUAUCUGACGUUUCCAUAUAAUUUUGGGGCUGAUCAUACGGUCUUGUUCCGGCGACGUAUCUUUGACGUGUCUGCUUUAUAUUAACUCCAGGG